AUUGCUCCACUCUCAGCCCCCCAUUUUCCAGCAACUAGGGUUUUUUCCCCUCUUCUUUUACUGAGGGAGUUAGAGUUGUCCGAUUCUUACCCAUUUCCAGUUUUUACUGUUGUCAUCACCACAUGGUUUUUAUUUUACAUUUUCUUAAAAGAAGUGCAGACAAAAAAGAUUGAGUCUUUCUUGUAAACCAAUAGAAAUUUCUGGGGUUUUUUCCAUUCUUGAAGAUUGAGUCUUUCUUGUGAACCAAUAGAAAUUUCUGGGUUUUUUUACCAUUCUUGAAGACUGAGUUUAAAGAUUGAUGGCUAAGACUAAACCUGGAAAGAAAGACCUUGAUUCUUACAGUAUCAAGGGCACCAACAAAGUUGUUAGACCUGAUGAUUGUGUAUUGAUGAGACCAUCUGAUUCUGAUAAACCUCCAUACGUGGCAAAAAUAGAGAAGCUAGAGGCUGAUCACCGGAAUAAUGUGAAGGUCAGAGUUAGAUGGUAUUACCGACCCGAGGAGUCUAUUGGUGGUCGCAGACAGUUCCAUGGGGCCAAAGAACUGUUCUUGUCAGAUCACUUUGAUGUGCAGAGUGCACACACCAUUGAAGGGAAGUGCAUAGUUCACUCUUUUAAGAACUACACCAAAUUGGAGAAUGUGGGCCCUGAGGAUUACUUUUGCAGGUUUGAGUACAAAGCUGCCACAGGGGGGUUUACUCCUGACCGUGUAGCUGUGUAUUGUAAGUGUGAGAUGCCCUACAACCCUGAUGAUCUCAUGGUACAAUGUGAAGGAUGCAAAGACUGGUUCCAUCCCUCUUGUAUGGGCAUGACCAUUGAUGAAGCAAAGAAAUUAGAGCAUUUCUUGUGUUCUGACUGUUCCUCAGAAGAUGAAACCAAACGUCCUUUGAACUCAUUUCAUGUUUCACCACCUGAUGAAGCAAAGCUAAACUGCCACUAUUCCCGUUGCUAGGUGGAGUCAAAGCGCAGGAAGAGAUAAAUAGCUGACCUUGAUGCAGUAUGAGGAGGUGCCUGUUUCUAUAUUGGAUUACAUGUGAAGCUGGAUGUAUGAUGACAAGCCUGCCUGUAAGAGCUGAUCAAGAAUCAUAUUGAUGAAUAAGAACUUUGCCUAAUCUCGAGUUGCAAUAUAUCUGGUUAGGAUCUCCUGAUCAAGAAUCAUAUUUCAACAACAUACCCAGUGUAAUAUCAAACCACGGGACAGGGAAAAAAGAGCAGCUUUCUAGAUUCUGCUGUUGUAGGGUCAAAAAUCUCACAAGUACGCAGACCUUACCUCUUCCUUAAAAGGAAGAGAGGCCUGAUCAAGAAUCAUAUUACAACAACAUACCCAGCGUAACCCCACAAGUACGCAUACCUUACCUUUUCCUUAAGAGGAAGAGAAACCUGAUCGAGAAUCAUAUUACAACAACAUACCCAGUGUAAUCCCAAAAGUACACAAACCUUAUCUCUUCCUUAAAAGGAAGAAACACGUGAUCAAGAAUCAUAUUCGUAGUGUACUAAUUCGCUUAAAUUUUCCUGGGAACUCGUUGAUCAAUAGUGAUCUUUUGAUCGAUGUCCCUUGCUACAAUCCUUGUAUGUGAUUAAUGGAAGAUUGAGAAACUUCCGUUGCUGAAAAUGAAGUUAUUUCUGCUACUUGGGC